UACGUAGGGUGCAAGCGUUGUCCGGAAUUAUUGGGCGUAAAGAGCUCGUAGGCGGUCUGUCGCGUCGGCUGUGAAAACUCGGGGCUCAACCCCGAGCCUGCAGUCGAUACGGGCAGACUAGAGUGCUGUAGGGGAGACUGGAAUUCCUGGUGUAGCGGUGAAAUGCGCAGAUAUCAGGAGGAACACCGGUGGCGAAGGCGGGUCUCUGGGCAACAACUGACGCUGAGGAGCGAGAGCGUGGGGAGCGAACAGG
rnacentral:rRNA from 1 species